AGCACUACUUGCGGCAAUCAGUGAAAAAGAUGCAAAUAUUGCCUUGCUGGAAUUGUCUGCCUCCAAAAAGAAAAAGACGCAGGAAGAAGUCAUGGCCCUCAAGCGGGAAAAAGACCGACUAGUUCAUCAGUUAAAGCAGCAGACCCAGAACAGAAUGAAGCUGAUGGCAGACAACUACGAUGAAGACCAUCACCAUUACCACCACCACCACCACCACCACCACCAUCGAUCUCCCGGGAGGUCACAACAUCCCAAUCACAGGCCUUCUCCGGACCAGGAUGACGAGGAGGGCAUAUGGGCAUAGCCGGGCCUGUAAACCAAAGUUCCAGUUUUGUUUUGAGGG